UAAAACAUGAAAACAUAACUUCAAAUGAUGAAAUUGACAGAAAUUAACAGCAAAUUGAAACCAUUCCAAAAGAAUUGGAUUGACCGGCAAGGAAACGGAACAAGAACUGGAAGAUGAGCAUCGAAGCAUUGGAAAAGACACCAGACAGCAGCCCUUUACCUUGGCCUCUAAAUUAGCGAUGUUUCAGUCUUUGGCUGCAUAUGACACGUUGACGUUUAUCAACUUCAAGCACCAUAUACCACGGAGGAGAAAACACAUUCUUUCAUUGAUACUUCUUGAUGUGUCGACCACCCAAAUUACUUGAAAAUACACAACCAAUGCUGCUCUUUUAGCCCCCCGUGAUCAAAAGAAACUGUUAAAAAUAUGGAUUUAAGUCGACGUCCCCAUCCCACAAAGGAUAUAUGCUCGCGUAGUUACGAUGCUGGGAGGCUUCACAGUUUGGAUCGAAGGAUGGAGCGAGUGGUGUGCCCAGCAUCGACGAGUGCCAGCAGCACCUUUCGGAUAUCUAUGGAAGAGAUUCUACCGGUAUGGCAGACCAAAA